GGGAACGUUAAGGGCGUCGAGCGGCGGACGGGUGAGUAAUGCCUAGGAAAUUGCCCUGAUGUGGGGGAUAACCAUUGGAAACGAUGGCUAAUACCGCAUGAUGCCUACGGGCCAAAGAGGGGGACCUUCGGGCCUCUCGCGUCAGGAUAUGCCUAGGUGGGAUUAGCUAGUUGGUGAGGUAAUGGCUCACCAAGGCGACGAUCCCUAGCUGGUCUGAGAGGAUGAUCAGCCACACUGGAACUGAGACACGGUCCAGACUCCUACGGGAGGCAGCAGUGGGGAAUAUUGCACAAUGGGCGCAAGCCUGAUGCAGCCAUGCCGCGUGUGUGAAGAAGGCCUUCGGGUUGUAAAGCACUUUCAGUCGUGACGAAGAGGGUGUAGAUAAUAGCUGCAUUAUUUGACGUUAGCGACAGAAGAAGCACCGGCUAACUCCGUGCCAGCAGCCGCGGUAAUACGGAGGGUGCGAGCGUUAAUCGGAAUUACUGGGCGUAAAGCGCAUGCAGGUGGUUUGUUAAGUCAGAUGUGAAAGCCCGGGGCUCAACCUCGGAAUAGCAUUUGAAACUGGCAGACUAGAGUACUGUAGAGGGGGGUAGAAUUUCAGGUGUAGCGGUGAAAUGCGUAGAGAUCUGAAGGAAUACCGGUGGCGAAGGCGGCCCCCUGGACAGAUACUGACACUCAGAUGCGAAAGCGUGGGGAGCAAACAGGAUUAGAUACCCUGGUAGUCCACGCCGUAAACGAUGUCUACUUGGAGGUUGUGGCCUUGAGCCGUGGCUUUCGGAGCUAACGCGUUAAGUAGACCGCCUGGGGGAGUACGGUCGCAAGAUUAAAAACUCAAAUGAAAUUGACGGGGGGCCCGCACAAGCGGUGGAAGCAUGUGGGUUUAAUUCGAUGCAACGCGAAAAAACCUUACCUACUCCUUGACAUCCAGAAAAACUUUUCCAGAAAAUGGAAUUGGGUGCCUUUCGGGAAACUCUGAAAACAGGGUGCUGGCAUGGGCUGUUCGUUCAG
rnacentral:rRNA from 1 species